ACUUAGUGGCAGACGGGUGAGUAACAUGUGGGUAUCUACCCUUUGGCCUGGAAUAACACGAGGAAACUUGUGCUAAUACCGGAUAAGUCUUUACGGAGAAAGCUUUAUGCACCAUUGGAUGAGCCCGCACUUGAUUAGUUUGUUGGUAGGGUAAUGGCCUACCAAGACUAUGAUCAAUAGCUGAUUUGAGAGGAUGAUCAGCCACAUUGGGACUGAGACACGGCCCAAACUCCUACGGGAGGCAGCAGUGGGGAAUCUUGCACAAUGGAGGAAACUCUGAUGCAGCGAUGCCGCGUGAGUGAAGAAGGCCCUUGGGUUGUAAAGCUCUUUCGUCGGGGAAGAAAAUGACUGUACCCGAAUAAGAAGGUCCGGCUAACUUCGUGCCAGCAGCCGCGGUAAUACGAAGGGACCUAGCGUAGUUCGGAAUUACUGGGCUUAAAGAGUUCGUAGGUGGUUGAAAAAGUUGGUGGUGAAAUCCCAGAGCUUAACUCUGGAACUGCCAUCAAAACUUUUCAGCUAGAGUAUGAUAGAGGAAAGCAGAAUUUCUAGUGUA
rnacentral:rRNA from 1 species